rnacentral:misc_RNA from 1 species
GAUGAAGAACGCAGCAAAAUGCGAUAAGUAAUGUGAAUUGCAGAAUUCAGUGAAUCAUCGAAUCUUUGAACGCACAUUGCGCCCUUUGGUAUUCCGAAGGGCAUGCCUGUUCGAGCGUCAUUAUCAACCAUCAAGCUAUGCUUGGCAUUGGGUGUCAACCUCCCCUCACCGGGGGGUCGCGCCUCAAACUGUUCGGCGGUGGCUCAGGGCCUCAAGCGUUAGUAAUACUUCCCGCUUCAGAGAAACUGAGUUGCCUGCCCCUAGAAACCCACAUCUUAAGGUUGACCUCGGAUCAGGUAGGGAUACCCGCUGAACUUAAGCAUAUCAAUAAGCGGAGGA